GUGGCAGGUUUGACCAAUGAACGCUUUUACACAGUUGUUGAAAUAAAAAUGUUACGCUAAGAAAAGGGCUUCUAGUUAGAAGCCUUUCUGCAGGCAGUGACUCAGAGAUGUUACUGUCCCAGCAGCUGAUUUCAGCCUAAGUGCAUAUUGAAGGAAACAGGGAAGGGAAAGUUGCUGUGAUAAUAAUGCUGUGAUGGCGCAUCACCAGAGGUGGCGUGACAACAGGAUUCAUCACUGACCAUUAUAAAAUUGACUUCUUUCUUUUUCACUUCUGUUCCUUGGAAGAUAACGGCAAGUCACAGUGCUGUCUGGGCACUACAGUGAUUUAAGGGCCAGAUCCACAGGCAGGAUAGCUGCUUUACUGCACUGCUGCAUAAAAGGUAAUUAGCCCAUGUAGAAGGCAAUUAGCUCUGCACUGCCGUGGC